rnacentral:tRNA from 1 species
AAAAAUAUAGCAUAAAUAAUGCACUUCAUUUACACUGAAGAUAUACUUAUAUUUAAGUUGUUUUUA